UGUGAGGCAAUGUGAGAUGGCAGUGAGAGGCCUUGCAAGGGAACUUCAUAUAGGCCAAGUGGGCUUAUGAGGGAACAUGACUCAUGAGGAGUUGUGCAACGCUAUACGAGGCAGCAGGGGUGGGGCGGUGAAUGGAAUUGUGAGGGCAUCCAAGACAGUGACAAGGUGCAGCUUCAAGAUCAACAUCACCAGGGCAAUGACAAGCAUCAUGACUCAACAAUGGGCCUAUUGAUAAGUAAUAGGUAGUUGAACCUGUGUUUGGGCAGUGUCACUUCUGACUGAUGUCACUUCUGACAUGUAGUCUCCACAUGAUCGAGUGCUCCUCCAGAGAAGGCUAGGCUUGGAAUUUUUUUUGUAUUAAGUGGUCCUGUCCAGACACAGAUUGACUACUUGUCAACUAGACCUGACAAGGUCCAUGGGAUCCUUAUCAGGCUUAGCUGACUGCUACAUAUUGGAGCCAAGAAGGAAUUUUCCCUGUUAGGUGGGCCAGACCCAUUGGAUUUAAAUAAAACAGGCUUUUUGCAUUCUCUGCACUGCCUUCUUCUUGGGCUGCAGCACCCUGGCUGGCCUCUCAAGACAAGUUAAAAUGUGGGUCUUUGAUAAAACAAAACAUAAGUAAAUUUAAUGAAGUUGUUAUAGUUUAUACGUA